GCCCUGCACAGUGAGGUCGUGGCGCCCGGCACCUGCCACCUGUGACUGGGAUGAAGGGCUCGAUCAGAACCUGUCUGCCGGUUUCCCCGUGCGACGAUUAACCACCACCCCCUCCAUAACCCGUGUGUUUUCCAGAAAGGGGCUCAGUGCCUCAGGCACACCUUGAGAAACACCUCCAUUUUCAAAGGAGACCAUGAGUUUCCUGCUUGCCCACAUGUAUUUCAUUGUACUACUGGCAACUGUCAUCUCUUAUAAAUGAGGUUCAUAAAUAGUUGUUCCAGCUUAUGGAAUUCUGGAGAAAAAAGCUUCCAGAACAGUGAUAUGGUGCACUUCCCACAAAAUGAGACAAGCUGAAGACACCUGUGAGUAUCAACCCUCAUUUAUGACAG
rnacentral:lncRNA from 1 species